rnacentral:rRNA from 1 species
UACGGGGGGAGCAAGCGUUGUUCGGAUUUACUGGGCGUAAAGGGCGGGUAGGCGGCCACCGCAAGUCAGUUGUGAAAUCUCUGGGCUUAACCCAGAAAGGUCAACUGAUACUGCGGGGCUAGAGUGCAGAAGGGGCAACUGGAAUUCUCGGUGUAGCGGUGAAAUGCGUAGAUAUCGAGAGGAACACCUGAGGUGAAGACGGGUUGCUGGGCCGACACUGACGCUGAGGCGCGAAAGCCAGGGUAGCAAACGGG